GACGUAGGGCGCGAGCGUUGUCCGGAUUUAUUGGCGUAAAGGGCUCGUAGGCGGCGUGUCGCGUCGGGAGUGAAAGACCGGGGCUUAACCCCGGUUCUGCUUCCGGUACGGGCAUGCUGGAGUGUGGCAGGGGAGACUGGGAAGUUCCUGGUGAUAGCGGGUGGAAUGCGCAGAUAUCAGGAGGAACACCGGUGGCGAAGGCGGGUCUCUGGGCCAUUACUGACGCUGAGGAGCGAAAGCGUGGGGAGCGAACAGG
rnacentral:rRNA from 1 species